UCACCCUUCAAACUUUAAAACCAAAUCAUCCAAUGUCCUGUCAUUAAAUCCAAUUAAGUUUGACUGUUAAAUUAUUUUGGUUGAUUAAAAUUUGACACUUGGUAGUCCUUGUCUGCUUAGAUAUUCCACCUCAGCCGAAGUGUACACUUGCCACCUCAUCUUCCCCCUUCACCGUCAGCUCUUCUCUCGCCCUUAUAUCUUCCUCCUCUCUCCCGUAUCUAUCUCGAUUUCCAUCAAACCCACACAAGGAGUCCUCAAUACACAUCUCAUACGGAUUUGGAUGAUGUUGAAUUGGAGAAGGAGAAGAAUAGAAAAAGAAGGAGAUGAGGAAAGAAACAGAGGGAAGUGCUCCAUCAUCGCGACCAACAUCAACUCCAUCAUCUUCGAUCUUCAAAUCUAGAGUCUUCCUAAUCCACUUCCAUCUUUAUCCUUUAUGUUUGUUUGUCACAUCUGACAAAUGGGGCUAAGGAAGGAGGAGUGGCAGUGAUAGUGGCUUCAUUGUUGGCAAUGGACAGGGGGAGGUUGGGUUUGAUUCCUUUGUCUUGGCUCCUCUGGCUCUACCCAUUGAUGACGAUAAUGAUGGUGACCAAAUCCUCAACUCCAACAAAUUCCCCUUCAUCGCCAUCGAGUUCGACACAUGGCAUAAGAUCUUGUAUAAACUUUGACUUUUCUGGGUUUUUGGCCUUUGAUGAGGCCUUGAUUUGAUUCAAUUUUUUGUUUCCAGGUUCGAUUGAUUCAAGUCAUUUUUUUGGGUUUGAUUUCUAGGUUUCUGUGAGUUCAAGUUCACUGAUUACUUUUAUGGAUUUAUGGGCUCGAGUCUUUCUCUUUUCCCUGACUGUUGGGUUUUGAUUCUUUCUUUCUUUUUCCCUUGACUGUGUUCAACUGAAAUGAAAUAUGAUUCUUUUGAUGUUU